rnacentral:rRNA from 1 species
GACGAACGCUGGCGGCGUGCUUAACACAUGCAAGUCGAACGGCAAGGCCCUUCGGGGUACACGAGUGGCGAACGGGUGAGUAACACGUGGGUGAUCUGCCCUGCACUUCGGGAUAAGCCUGGGAAACUGGGUCUAAUACCGGAUAGGACUCCGGCCUGCAUGGUCUGGGGUGGAAAGCUUUUGCGGUGUGGGAUGGGCCCGCGGCCUAUCAGCUUGGUGGUGGGGUGAUGGCCUACCAAGGCGACGACGGGUAGCCGGCCUGGGAGGGUGACCGGCGACACUGGGACUGAGAUACGGCCCAGACUCCUACGGGAGGCAGCAGUGGGGAAUAUUGCACAAUGGGCGCAAGCCUGAUGCAGCGACGCCGCGUGAGGGAUGACGGCCUUCGGGUUGUAAACCUCUUUCAGCAUCGACGAAGCGAAAGUGACGGUAGGUGCAGAAGAAGGACCGGCCAACUACGUGCCAGCAGCCGCCGUAA